rnacentral:rRNA from 1 species
UGAGGAAUAUUGGUCAAUGGGGCGCGAGCCUGAACCAGCCAAGUAGCGUGCGGGAGGAAGGCCCUAUGGGUUGUAAACCGCUUUUACCGGGGGAUAAAGUGAGCGACGUGUCGCUCAUUGCAGGUACCCGGCGAAUAAGGACCGGCUAAUUCCGUGCCAGCAGCCGCGGUAAUACGGAAGGUCCGGGCGUUAUCCGGAUUUAUUGGGUUUAAAGGGAGCGUAGGCCGGAUGUCAAGCGUGUUGUGAAAUGCCGGGGCUCAACCUCUGCACUGCAGCGCGAACUGGUCUUCUUGAGUACGCACAACGUGGGCGGAAUUCGUGGUGUAGCGGUGAAAUGCUUAGAUAUCACGAAGAACUCCGAUUGCGAAGGCAGCUCACGGGAGCGCAACUGACGCUGAAGCUCGAAAGUGC